rnacentral:rRNA from 1 species
GAUGAACGCUGGCGGCGUGCCUAAUACAUGCAAGUCGAGCGAACGGACGAGAAGCUUGCUUCUCUGAUGUUAGCGGCGGACGGGUGAGUAACACGUGGAUAACCUACCUAUAAGACUGGGAUAACUUCGGGAAACCGGAGCUAAUACCGGAUAAUAUUUUGAACCGCAUGGUUCAAAAGUGAAAGACGGUCUUGCUGUCACUUAUAGAUGGAUCCGCGCUGCAUUAGCUAGUUGGUAAGGUAACGGCGUACCAAGGCAACGAUGCAUAGCCGACCUGAGAGGGUGGUCGGCCACACUGGAACGGAGACACGGCCCAGACCCCUACGGGAGGCAGCAGUAGGGAAUCUUCCGCGAUGGGCGAAAGCCUUACGGAGCAACGCCGCGUGAGGGAUGAAGGUCUUCGGAUCGUAAAACUCUGUUAUUAGGGAAGAACAUAUGUGUAAGUAACUGUGCACAUCUUGACGGUACCUAAUCAGAAAGCCACGGCUAACUACGUG